GGUCCGGUAGUUCAGUUGGUUAGAACGCCUGCCUGUCACGCAGGAGGUCGCGAGUUCGAGUCUCGUCCGGAUCG
rnacentral:tRNA from 5 species